GAUGAACGCUGGCGGCGUGCUUAACACAUGCAAGUCGAACGAUGAAGCCGAGCUUGCUGGGUGGAUUAGUGGCGAACGGGUGAGUAACACGUGAGUAACCUGCCCUUAACUCUGGGAUAAGCCUGGGAAACUGGGUCUAAUACCGGAUAGGAGCGUCCACCGCAUGGUGGGUGUUGGAAAGAUUUAUCGGUUUUGGAUGGACUCGCGGCCUAUCAGCUUGUUGGUGAGGUAAUGGCUCACCAAGGCGACGACGGGUAGCCGGCCUGAGAGGGUGACCGGCCACACUGGGACUGAGACACGGCCCAGACUCCUACGGGAGGCAGCAGUGGGGAAUAUUGCACAAUGGGCGAAAGCCUGAUGCAGCGACGCCGCGUGAGGGAUGACGGCCUUCGGGUUGUAAACCUCUUUCAGUAGGGAAGAAGCGAAAGUGACGGUACCUGCAGAAGAAGCACCGGCUAACUACGUG
rnacentral:rRNA from 1 species